UUGGGAUUAUUUUUCAUGCAUUAUUUAAAUUGAAUAUAAUGAAUAUUAUUUAAUAAAUAAAUUUGGUGUAUUUACUGUCUUCUGAUUGGUUAAAAUUAUUAGUUUUAUUUUCAAUGUUGUCAAUUUUGAUGGCGACACGCCCACUCUGAUGUUGUGUAUUCAUACACCAACAUGUGUGUACGUUGUUAUUAAUAUAUAUAAUAUAAAAAGUUCUUUGUGCCUGUUUUUUGAUAGAAAUUUAUUUAUAAUGAAUGGCAAUAAUUUAUUUUGAUUUUAU
rnacentral:lncRNA from 1 species